UUUUUUUUUUUUUUUUUUUAGAGAUUGAGAGAGAGAAAGAGAUUAAUUGUGCUUUGAUCGGAGAGAGAUGAUUUUAGUGAAGAGAGAGAGAGAGAGCUGCCGGAGUGUUCUUGAAAAGAAAAGACGCAAAAUUAAAAUGAAAAGAUUUUGAAAAUAAGGUUUUGAAGUUUGAACCAGGAGUAGCCGUUAUGUCCCUAACGUCCAUAUCUUUAGGAGGCGACAUA
rnacentral:misc_RNA from 1 species